CACGUAGGGGGCAAGCGUUGUCCGGAUUCAUUGGGCGUAAAGAGCUCGUAGGCGGUUCGAUAAGUCGGGUGUGAAACCUCCAGGCUCAACCUGGAGACGCCACCCGAUACUGUCGUGACUAGAGUCCAGUAGGGGAGCGUGGAAUUCCUGGUGUAGCGGUGAAAUGCGCAGAUAUCAGGAGGAACACCGAUGGCGAAGGCAGUGUUCUGGGCCAGUACUGACGCUCAGGCACGAAAGCGUGGGGAGCAAACAGG
rnacentral:rRNA from 1 species